rnacentral:rRNA from 1 species
AUUACUCCUACGGGAGGCAGCAGUGGGGAAUAUUGGACAAUGGGGGCAACCCUGAUCCAGCCAUGCCGCGUGAGUGAUGAAGGCCCUAGGGUUGUAAAGCUCUUUUGUGCGGGAAGAUAAUGACGGUACCGCAAGAAUAAGCCCCGGCUAACUUCGUGCCAGCAGCCGCGGUAAUAAU